rfam:Thalassiosira oceanica strain CCMP1005 To_g10630, whole genome shotgun sequence.
ACAUCUCUCUUCGCCUUUUGGCUUUGAUCUUGUGUAGUAACUGUUCUAAUACUUUUAACAAAGUAUUGAUCCCCAUGUGGGAUCACACUGUUAAACUACUUUUUGAAACCUCGGGUUUUCCCUUCAGCUUGCUGAACAUUGCCCACGGAUGGUCGAAGCAUUUCACUAGCCGCUACGAUCCGUCCACCCCCC